rnacentral:rRNA from 1 species
GACGAACGCUGGCGGCGUGCUUAACACAUGCAAGUCGAACGGAAAGGCCCUGCUUUUGUGGGGUGCUCGAGUGGCGAACGGGUGAGUAACACGUGAGUAACCUGCCCUUGACUUUGGGAUAACUUCAGGGAACUGGGGCUAAUACCGGAUAGGAGCUCCUGCUGCAUGAUGGGGGUUGGAAAGUUUCGGCGGUUGGGGAUGGACUCGCGGCUUAUCAGCUUGUUGGUGGGGUAGUGGCUUACCAAGGCUUUGACGGGUAGCCGGCCUGAGAGGGUGACCGGCCACAUUGGGACUGAGAUACGGCCCAGACUCCUACGGGAGGCAGCAGUGGGGAAUAUUGCACAAUGGGCGGAAGCCUGAUGCAGCAACGCCGCGUGCGGGAUGACGGCCUUCGGGUUGUAAACCGCUUUCGCCUGUGACGAAGCGUGAGUGACGGUAAUGGGUAAAGAAGCACCGGCUAACUACGUG